GGGGGAAUGGCCCUAGCUCAGCAGUAGAACAUCUGCUCUGUGUGCAGAAGGUCCCAGGUUCAAUCCCUGCUGCUCCA